CUAAAAUUAAAAAUAUAAAUAAACCUAAGUUUAGAUAAGUUUUCUUCAAUAGGCGCUGUUCUUUGUACGGAUAACAUUUAGUUGAAACCAAGUUACAGCCAAUCAUCCGACUGAAAGUACGCAAUGAAGUCUCUGGUCAUUGUAUUCCUUUUCAUGGUUGUCAUGAAUGAAGUGAUGUUCUCUUCUUGCAAGAAUAUCAUCUUGAGUGAAAAUGAAGGAAAGAGUUUUCAAUCUGACCCCGAAAGUCAAGCGAUGAGUCACGAAGUCGUGAAGGAUGGAUGGGAGCUCGUGAGGGAUAAAGGUCACGAAGUCGUGAAUGAUGGAUGGGAGCUCGUGAGGAAUAAAGGUCACGAAGUGGUGAUGGAUGGAUGGGAGCUCGUGAGGCAGGAUAGUAGAGGUCACGAAGUCGUGAGGGAUGGAAGUCCGUGAAACUGGGGACCAACGAAGUAAUGUCCAGUGGAUAAAAGACAACUGUUAGCCUAAUUACUUCCAGUUAGUUCUUGAUAAGACCUGAUGAGCACAAGAAUAAUUAACGGGCUGUAACUAGUUAAUAUUGGUCUUUACUAAAAGCUAAUAAUAUUGUAAUGUAAUAUUGAAUUGUGCAAGUGAAAGUCAGGAAUAAAGGCAAUGAUCUUAACAAACCA